rnacentral:rRNA from 1 species
GAUGAACGCUGGCGGCGUGCUUAACACAUGCAAGUCGAACGGUGAAGCAGGAGCUUGCUCUUGUGGAUCAGUGGCGAACGGGUGAGUAACACGUGAGCAACCUGCCCCUGACUCUGGGAUAAGCGCUGGAAACGGCGUCUAAUACUGGAUAUGUGAUGUGACCGCAUGGUCUGCAUCUGGAAAGAAUUUCGGUUGGGGAUGGGCUCGCGGCCUAUCAGCUUGUUGGUGAGGUAAUGGCUCACCAAGGCGUCGACGGGUAGCCGGCCUGAGAGGGGGACCGGCCACACUGGGACUGAGACACGGCCCAGACUCCGACGGGAGGCAGCAGUGGGGAAUAUUGCACAAUGGGCGGAAGCCUGAUGCAGCAACGCCGCGUGAGGGAUGACGGCCUUCGGGUUGUAAACCUCUUUUAGCAGGGAAGAAGCGAAAGUGACGGUACCUGCAGAAAAAGCACCGGCUAACUACGUGCCAGCAGCCGCGGUAA